UACGUAGGGUGCGAGCGUUAAUCGGAAUUACUGGGCGUAAAGUGUGCGCAGGCGGCCGAGCAAGUCGAGUGUGAAAGCCCCGAGCUUAACUUGGGAACUGCGCUCGAAACUACUUGGCUAGAGUGUGGCAGAGGGAGGUGGAAUUCCACGUGUAGCGGUGAAAUGCGUAGAGGAUGUGGAGGAACACCGAUGGCGAAGGCAGCCUCCGUGGGCCAACACUGACGCUCAUGCACGAAAGCGUGGGGAGCAAACAGG
rnacentral:rRNA from 1 species